ACAUAUUUCAGUGGUUAACUUUCAAGAUAGUGAGGUGGCCUUAGGUCGCUGUAGAUCAAUUUAAAAUGACAAUCGAAUCAGUUUCUUGGAAGUAAAUUUGUUUACAGAAAUGCCUUCUCUUCAGAUCGUUGCAUUAUCCGGAAAUCCUUUAAGUGUCAUUUUAGAAGAAGCGUUUCAGGCAGUGAUUGGAAAAGUUUACUUACCUGGAUUAGCAAGUUUUUCUCUAAAUUGUGAUUGCCAAUUGAAAUGGUUAAAGACAUCUCCUCUAAGCAACCAUUCCAUGGUUCUAAAAAACCUGGAAGGGGUAACUUGCAAGAGACCCCCUCAUUUACGAGGAACACCCUUCUCCGAUCUAUCCGAAGAACAUCUCAUCUGUUCAAAAUAAGAAAAAUAUAUAUUAUAAAUGGGUUUAUUAAAAUACAAUUCAAUUUUAUAUACUUGUAAAUA
rnacentral:misc_RNA from 1 species